rnacentral:rRNA from 1 species
UGGGGAAUAUUGGACAAUGGGCGCAAGCCUGAUCCAGCCAUACCGCGUGGGUGAAGAAGGCCUUCGGGUUGUAAAGCCCUUUUGUUGGGAAAGAAAUCCAGCUGGUUAAUACCCGGUUGGGAUGACGGUACCCAAAGAAUAAGCACCGGCUAACUUCGUGCCAGCAGCCGCGGUAAUACGAAGGGUGCAAGCGUUACUCGGAAUUACUGGGCGUAAAGCGUGCGUAGGUGGUCGUUUAAGUCUGUUGUGAAAGCCCUGGGCUCAACCUGGGAACUGCAGUGGAAACUGGACGACUAGAGUGUGGUAGAGGGUAGCGGAAUUCCUGGUGUAGCAGUGAAAUGCGUAGAGAUCAGGAGGAACAUCCAUGGCGAAGGCAGCUACCUGGACCAACACUGACACUGAGGCACGAAAGCGUGGGGAGCAAACAGGAUUAGAUACCCUGGUAGUCCACGCCCUAAACGAUGCGAACUGGAUGUUGGGUGCAAUUUGGCACGCAGUAUCGAAGCUAACGCGUUAAAUCGACCGCCUGGGGAGUACGGCCGCAAGGUUAAAACUCAAAUGAAUUGACGGGGUCAUAG